rnacentral:rRNA from 1 species
CCAUGCAAGUCGAGCGAACGAUAGUAGCUUGCUACUAGGCGUCGAGCGGCGGACGGGGGAGUAAUGCUUGGGUAUCUGCCUUAUCGUGGGGGACAACAGCUGGAAACGGCUGCUAAUACCGCAUAAUAUCUACGGAUCAAAUGUGGCCUCUUCUUGAAAGCUUGCGUUAGGAUGAACCCAAGUGGGAUUAGCUAGUUGGUGAGGUAAUGGCUCACCAAGGCGACGAUCCCUAGCUGGUCUGAGAGGAUGAUCAGCCACACUGGAACUGAGACACGGUCCAGACUCCUACGGGAGGCAGCAGUGGGGAAUAUUGCACAAUGGGCGAAAGCCUGAUGCAGCCAUGCCGCGUGUGUGAAGAAGGCUUUCGGGUUGUAAAGCACUUUCAGUAGGGAGGAAGGCGUUGUAGUUAAUACCUGCAACGAUUGACGUUACCUACAGAAGAAGCACCGGCUAACUCCGUGCCAGCAGCCGCGGUAAUACGGAGGGUGCAAGCGUUAAUCGGAAUUACUGGGCGUAAAGCGCGCGUAGGCGGUUUGUUAAGUUGGGUGUGAAAUCCCCGGGCUUAACCUGGGAACUGCAUUCAAAACUGUCUCACUAGAGUACGAUAGAGGGGGGUAGAAUUUCAGGUGUAGCGGUGAAAUGCGUAGAGAUCUGAAGGAAUACCGGUGGCGAAGGCGGCCCCCUGGAUUGAUACUGACACUGAGGUGCGAAAGCGUGGGUAGCAAACAGGAUUAGAUACCCUGGUAGUCCACGCCGUAAACGAUGUCAACUAGCUGUUGGAGGACUUGAUCCUUUAGUGGCGCAGCUAACGCGUUAAGUUGACCGCCUGGGGAGUACGGCCGUAAGGUUAAAACUCAAAUGAAUUGACGGGGGCCCGCACAAGCGGUGGAGCAUGUGGUUUAAUUCGACGCAACGCGAAGAACCUUACCUACUCUUGACAUCCUCAGAACUUAGCAGAGAUGCUUUGGUGCCUUUGGGAACUGAGUGACAGGUGCUGUAUGGCUGUCGUCAGCUCGUGUUGUGAAAUGUUGGGUUAAGUCCCGUAACGAGCGUAACCCUUGUCCUUAUUUGCCAGCACGUAAUGGUGGGAACUUUAAGGAGACUGCCGGUGAUAAACCGGAGGAAGGUGGGGACGACGUUAAGUCAUUAUGGCCCUUAUGAGUAGGGCUACACACGUGCUACAAUGGCCGGUACAGAGGGCAGCAAGACCGCGAGGUGGAGCAAAUCCCAGAAAGUAUCUCGUAGUCCGGAUUGGAGUCUGCAACUCGACUCCAUGAAGUCGGAAUCGCUAGUAAUCGUAGAUCAGAAUGCUACGGUGAAUACGUUCCCGGGCCUUGUACACACCGCCCGUCACACCAUGGGAGUGGGUUGCAAAAGAAGUAAGUAGCUUAACCUUCGGGAGGGCGCUUACCACUUUGUGAUUCAUGACUGGGGUGAAGUCGUAACAAGGUAACCA